GUUAUAUGGUCAAGUGAAGAAGCGCAUACGGUGGAUGCCUUGGCAGUCAGAGGCGAUGAAAGACGUGGUAGCCUGCGAAAAGCUUCGGGGAGUCGGCAAACAGACUUUGAUCCGGAGAUCUCUGAAUGGGGGAACCCACCUAGGAUAACCUAGGUAUCUUGUACUGAAUCCAUAGGUGCAAGAGGCGAACCAGGGGAACUGAAACAUCUAAGUACCCUGAGGAAAAGAAAUCAACCGAGAUUCCCUUAGUAGUGGCGAGCGAACGGGGAUUAGCCCUUAAGCUUCAUUGAUUUUAGCGGAACGCUCUGGAAAGUGCGGCCAUAGUGGGUGAUAGCCCCGUACGCGAAAGGAUCUUUGAAGUGAAAUCGAGUAGGACGGAGCACGAGAAACUUUGUCUGAACAUGGGGGGACCAUCCUCCAAGGCUAAAUACUACUGACUGACCGAUAGUGAACCAGUACCGUGAGGGAAAGGCGAAAAGAACCCCGGAGAGGGGAGUGAAAUAGAACCUGAAACCGUAUGCGUACAAGCAGUGGGAGCCUACUUGUUAGGUGACUGCGUACCUUUUGUAUAAUGGGUCAGCGACUUAUAUUCAGUGGCAAGCUUAACCGUAUAGGGUAGGCGUAGCGAAAGCGAGUCUUAAUAGGGCGUUUAGUCGCUGGGUAUAGACCCGAAACCGGGCGAUCUAUCCAUGAGCAGGUUGAAGGUUAGGUAACACUGACUGGAGGACCGAACCCACUCCCGUUGAAAAGGUAGGGGAUGACUUGUGGAUCGGAGUGAAAGGCUAAUCAAGCUCGGAGAUAGCUGGUUCUCCUCGAAAGCUAUUUAGGUAGCGCCUCAUGUAUCACUCUGGGGUAGAGCACUGUUUCGGCUAGGGGGUCAUCCCGACUUACCAAACCGAUGCAAACUCCGAAUACCCAGAAGUGCCGAGCAUGGGAGACACACGGCGGGUGCUAACGUCCGUCGUGAAAAGGGAAACAACCCAGACCGCCAGCUAAGGUCCCAAAGUUGUGGUUAAGUGGUAAACGAUGUGGGAAGGCUUAGACAGCUAGGAGGUUGGCUUAGAAGCAGCCACCCUUUAAAGAAAGCGUAAUAGCUCACUAGUCGAGUCGGCCUGCGCGGAAGAUGUAACGGGGCUCAAACCACACACCGAAGCUGCGGGUGUCACGUAAGUGACGCGGUAGAGGAGCGUUCUGUAAGCCUGUGAAGGUGAGUUGAGAAGCUUGCUGGAGGUAUCAGAAGUGCGAAUGCUGACAUGAGUAACGACAAUGGGUGUGAAAAACACCCACGCCGAAAGACCAAGGGUUCCUGCGCAACGUUAAUCGACGCAGGGUUAGUCGGUUCCUAAGGCGAGGCUGAAAAGCGUAGUCGAUGGGAAACAGGUUAAUAUUCCUGUACUUCUGGUUACUGCGAUGGAGGGACGGAGAAGGCUAGGCCAGCUUGGCGUUGGUUGUCCAAGUUUAAGGUGGUAGGCUGAAAUCUUAGGUAAAUCCGGGGUUUCAAGGCCGAGAGCUGAUGACGAGUCGUCUUUUAGAUGACGAAGUGGUUGAUGCCAUGCUUCCAAGAAAAGCUUCUAAGCUUCAGGUAACCAGGAACCGUACCCCAAACCGACACAGGUGGUCGGGUAGAGAAUACCAAGGCGCUUGAGAGAACUCGGGUGAAGGAACUAGGCAAAAUGGCACCGUAACUUCGGGAGAAGGUGCGCCGGCUAGGGUGAAGGAUUUACUCCGUAAGCUCUGGCUGGUCGAAGAUACCAGGCCGCUGCGACUGUUUAUUAAAAACACAGCACUCUGCAAACACGAAAGUGGACGUAUAGGGUGUGACGCCUGCCCGGUGCCGGAAGGUUAAUUGAUGGGGUUAGCGCAAGCGAAGCUCUUGAUCGAAGCCCCGGUAAACGGCGGCCGUAACUAUAACGGUCCUAAGGUAGCGAAAUUCCUUGUCGGGUAAGUUCCGACCUGCACGAAUGGCGUAACGAUGGCGGCGCUGUCUCCACCCGAGACUCAGUGAAAUUGAAAUCGCUGUGAAGAUGCAGUGUAUCCGCGGCUAGACGGAAAGACCCCGUGAACCUUUACUGUAGCUUUGCACUGGACUUUGAGCCUGCUUGUGUAGGAUAGGUGGGAGGCUUUGAAGCGUGGACGCCAGUUCGCGUGGAGCCAUCCUUGAAAUACCACCCUGGCAUGCUUGAGGUUCUAACUCUGGUCCGUAAUCCGGAUCGAGGACAGUGUAUGGUGGGCAGUUUGACUGGGGCGGUCUCCUCCUAAAGAGUAACGGAGGAGUACGAAGGUGCGCUCAGACCGGUCGGAAAUCGGUCGUAGAGUAUAAAGGCAAAAGCGCGCUUGACUGCGAGACAGACACGUCGAGCAGGUACGAAAGUAGGUCUUAGUGAUCCGGUGGUUCUGUAUGGAAGGGCCAUCGCUCAACGGAUAAAAGGUACUCCGGGGAUAACAGGCUGAUACCGCCCAAGAGUUCAUAUCGACGGCGGUGUUUGGCACCUCGAUGUCGGCUCAUCACAUCCUGGGGCUGAAGCCGGUCCCAAGGGUAUGGCUGUUCGCCAUUUAAAGUGGUACGCGAGCUGGGUUUAGAACGUCGUGAGACAGUUCGGUCCCUAUCUGCCGUGGACGUUUGAGAUUUGAGAGGGGCUGCUCCUAGUACGAGAGGACCGGAGUGGACGAACCUCUGGUGUUCCGGUUGUCACGCCAGUGGCAUUGCCGGGUAGCUAUGUUCGGAAAAGAUAACCGCUGAAAGCAUCUAAGCGGGAAACUUGCCUCAAGAUGAGAUCUCACUGGGAACUUGAUUCCCCUGAAGGGCCGUCGAAGACUACGACGUUGAUAGGCUGGGUGUGUAAGCGUUGUGAGGCGUUGAGCUAACCAGUACUAAUUGCCCGUGAGGCUUGACCAUAUAACACCCAAACA
rnacentral:rRNA from 1 species